rnacentral:rRNA from 1 species
AGAGUUUGAUCCUGGCUCAGGAUUAACGCUAGCGGCAGGCCUAAUACAUGCAAGUCGAACGGUAAUCACGCUUUCGGGCGUGAACGAGUGGCGGACGGGUGCGUAACGCGUAUGCAACUUACCCUGUACCGGGGGAUAGCCCGGAGAAAUCCGGAUUAAUACCCCAUAAAGUAUAAAUAGGGCAUCCUAUUAAUAUUAAAGAUUUAUUGGUACGGGAUGGGCAUGCGUCUGAUUAGCUAGUUGGUACGGUAAUGGCGUACCAAGGCGACGAUCAGUAGGGGUUCUGAGAGGAAGAUCCCCCACACUGGCACUGAGAUACGGGCCAGACUCCUACGGGAGGCAGCAGUAGGGAAUAUUGGUCAAUGGGCGCAAGCCUGAACCAGCCAUGCCGCGUGCAGGAAGACGGCCUUCUGGGUGGUAAACUGCUUUUAUUAGGGAACAAAGAGGCACUGCGGUGCAAGUUGCGUGUACCUAAUGAAUAAGCACCGGCUAACUCCGUGCCAGCAGCCGCGGUAAUACGGAGGGUGCAAGCGUUGUCCGGAUUUAUUGGGUUUAAAGAGUGCGUAGGCGGUUAGAUAAGUCAGUGGUGAAAUACUACAGCUCAACUGUAGAGGUGCCAUUGAAACUGUCUGACUUGAGUGCAGAUGAGGUAAGCGGAAUUUAUGGUGUAGCGGUGAAAUGCAUAGAUA